rnacentral:rRNA from 1 species
ACGAACGCUGGCGGCAUGCCUAACCCAUGCAAGUCGAACGAGACCUUCGGGUCUAGUGGCGCACGGGUGCGUAACGCGUGGGAACCUGCCCUUAGGUUCGGAAUAACUCCCCGAAAGGGGUGCUAAUACCGGAUAAUGUCUUCGGACCAAAGAUUUAUCGCCUUUGGAUGGGCCCGCGUUGGAUUAGCUAGUUGGUAGGGUAAAAGCCUACCAAGGCGACGAUCCAUAGCUGGUCUGAGAGGAUGAUCAGCCACACUGGGACUGAGACACGGCCCAGACUCCUACGGGAGGCAGCAGUGGGGAAUAUUGGACAAUGGGCGAAAGCCUGAUCCAGCAAUGCCGCGUGAGUGAUGAAGGCCUUAGGGUUGUAAAGCUCUUUUACCCGGGAUGAUAAUGACGGUACCGGGAGAAUAAGCUCCGGCUAACUCCGUG